rnacentral:pre_miRNA from 15 species
CGGAAGCUACGAUUGGGGGGAAUGAAGCCUGGUCCGAGAUCCCUAAGAGAACAACAAGAGAUGAAAGCAACAUCUCUUGCUCUCCGGUUACAGGUGCCUCGAGCCAGACAACAUUCCCCUCAAAGGAAAAGCUUCCU